UUGGAUAAACGCGUCUGCUAAAUGAAUAAAUGUAACAUGUAAAUGUAUUUUGCGAAAUGCACAGUUAGGUGAUGUGUCGCCCUCCACAUGACGCGAAACAGACUCCGAAAUGGGGAAAUGUAAAUGUGCGGACUCCUGGUUGGAAAGAUGAGUUUAUACCAUGGCUGAAGCCUGUCCGUGAAAACAGGUUGUAGGCCCUACAUAUUGUAAAAAGAACAUUAGCGUAGCUUUGACGGGCAUCAACGCUGUCAAGGCCGCUGUUGGCCGCAGCUGCCCAUUGACAGUUUCUGUGCUCCACCAGCAACACCACUACCCAACACGACAGCUGAACUUGACAAAACGGCUACGACAGCGACCUCUGCUCCAUCGUCUGCCGACAUCAGGGUGGCUAUGGGUGACACAUCAACGAUGCGCGUGGAGGUUAUCUGGGGGUUUUUCCAGGUAGCGUGUUUAAUGAAAACUUUGAGUUGUUUAACCCUGAAAAGAGGCAUACUCCGAGUUCCACGUUCCAGAAAGAGAGCACUGAGGAUGGACUGACAGGAAAGGUCCUGUCAUUAAUUGACCCUCAACGGCAUGGGAAUACAGCCACGGAGAGGAGAAAAGGGCUGGCAUGUCGGCAGAAGGAAACACUGGCAGAAGGAAAAAUGGAGAGGAAGCAGACCGUAUACGACCACACGGCAAGGACCCACUGCCGACCGAACUGACUUGUUCCCGUUACCUGUUGUCUGUCUACUGCUCCAACCAGUUUGUGGUCGACCCUGUGUGGACAAGUCAUUCACUCUCUGGGCCAGUCCUCCCAGUGGCUCCUUGCAGCGCCCUCGCCUCAGGCCAGUUUGGUCCUGCAUAUAAAUGUGGGUUUGAGUUCCAAAACAGAUGGAAUUAUAUUUUAUGGACCUAUUUUGCAUUUGUUAAUAUAGGUUGAAAAACACAAAAAAUAAUGCCCACCAGGUACACAGACCCAUCUGGAACGUUCCAUAUUUGGUUAGUCUUUUUCCUGACAAAGACAACACAUGAAGACAAAGGAAUUUUCCAAAGGAAUCUGCGCCAAAAUUAUUGAAAUGCACCCAUCAGGGAAAGAAUACAAGCACAUUUCCAAGGCACUUAAUAUACCCCAGAGUACAGUUAAGUCAAUUACAAACACAUGGAAAUAGUAAGGCACAACUGUAAAUCUGCCUAGAACAGUCUGUCCUCACAAAUUGAGCAUUUGUGUGACAAGGGGGCCUAUGACAACUUUGAAGAAGUUACAGACUUUCAUAGCUGAGAAUGGAGGGUCUGUGCAUACUACAACAGUUGCCCGUGUGCUUCAACAGUCUUAUCUUUAUAGGAGAGUGACAAUGAGAAAGCCACUUUUGGAGAAAAAAAACUUUGACAUUACUACAAGUUUUUGCCAAAAGACGUGGGAGACUCUGAAACAAAGUGAAAGAAGGUUCUAUGGUUUGAUGAGAGCAAAAUUGAGCUUCUGCCCAUCACCAGUAGCACACCAUCCCUACAGUGAUGUAAGAUGGGGGUGGCAUCAUGCUGUGGGGAUACUACUCUGCAGCACGGCCUGGAAGGCUUGUGAAGGUGUAGAGUAAAAUGAAUGCAGCACAGUACACCCAAAUAACAUAAGUAGGCGUAAUCCAGGAGGAAAACCUGCUAGUCUGCAAGACAACAGCAACUUGGAAGAUUUGUUUUCUAUCAGGACAACAACUCCAAGCACAAAGCUGAAGCCACACAGGAAUGGCUGAAAAACAACCGUGUUAAUGUGCAGGAGUGGCAAGUCAGAGUCCGGACCUCAAUCGCAUUUGGUGGCAAGACUUGAAAAUUGCUAUUCCCUUAAAGUCCUCAUGCAACUUAACAGCGCUGGAGUAGUUGUACAAAGAAGAAUGCUUGAGAAAAUAAGCAAAUGCUUUUUCUUGAUCCACAAAGCGGAUACAGACUUUUCAAAAAAAUUUAUUCAAAGGAUGUAAUUGCUGCUAAAGCUGCCUCUACUAAAUACUGACUUGACGGGGGUGAAUACUUACGCAAACAAUUAUUCUAUGUUUUAAAUUUGUCAUUAAUUUAGAUACAUUUCUAGAGAUGUAUUUUCAAUUUCACAUUCAAGUGUCUUUUUCUGUUGAUCAGUGUCAGAAUGUGUCAAAUUAAAUCCAUUACGGUACAAUAUUGUAAAAGAAUUAAACAUGACAAAGUCCAUGGGGCUGAAUACUUGUUAUAGGCAAUGCAUAUGCAUGUUUCUUUUUUUCCCCCAUCAUAAAAACCAAUGUCACCUUUCUUUUCCUUGGGAUGUGUGCAUAAUUUUGUAGCCACGUACUGUAACUAGAAUGUUUUUCAGAGGACAAAUCAUUCACGUCAUGCAUGUAAGGAUUAGAACUUCAAUAAUGAGUAAAUUCAUCUUCAUUCAUGUCCUUAAUUAUGUGAUUCACACCUAUUAAACAUUG